UCCUUGGAAAAACUCAGCAAAGCCCUGGCUCAUUAAAGGGAGAUAGAGAGCAACAGUGACAGCCACUGUCCUGCUGCCCACAAAGCUUUGCUGUUGUGGACAGAGAGCUGGCGAGGGCAGGGGCAGGAUGCCAUCCAGCAGUGCUCAAUGCCCUGAGACCACCAAACAGCUGCACAGCAUUUAGCCCAGGCUUGACAUCAGUUCCUGCUCACAGCUGCCAGGGGCUUGGCAAAACUCUGCUGUCACCCAUCUCCUCCCUUCCACCUGCCUGUCACUAGAGGGGUCAUAAACUGGCAUCCUUCCUUCUCCAUGAAAUGAGCAGAUGCCAGUUUUUUAUUGGGUGAAGGAGGCUUCCACACCUGUUUGGGUCCAUCUCCUUCUGGUCCUUCCCAGAGGACAGAAUCCCCCAGCCCCCUGUUGCCUGUGGCAGUAGUAGGAGUCAGAAUCUCCUCUGCCACAUCCCACUCCUGCUCUCGCCUUUCUCAUUUUUCAGCACAGCUUUGCUUGAAGCAGUGGCACAGCCCACGAGCCAGGAAUGGUGGUGGAGCAAGGCCUCCUUCCCAAUUCAUCACUAAUGCAGGAACGUCAAGCCCUUUCUGGCUGCAGUGAGCACCAGAUAAAAGCUAAAAGAGGCAUCAAUAAUUAAGAACCACUCAGAGCUGGACAGACUCCAGCCAGGAUGAGGCCCCUCUUUGUGCCAGAUACUGGUAUACAUGGCCUGGGAAAUUCAGGUUGUCUGAGGGUGCCAUGAACUUGUCCCUGCUGAGUUCAAGGCUCCUCAUUCAAGUAUGCAAGCUGUGCUGCUCCAGGGCCCACGUCAAUCAGUAAUGGAGGGCGAGCAAGACGUGUGUGACAUCCAUCACUCCAGAGCUGCCUGUUCCAGGUUUACCUGUGUCACUCUCCGAGACAGAAGAGCAGAGAAACUGCCUAGGGAAAACUGGCAAUUUUUGGUGAGGAGUUUUGAAAAAUGUGCAAAGCAUCUUCUCAGUCUCUCCUUCCCUUGAAACACAAUCUUAAGUGUUUCCAGCUUUUGAAAAACACUUUCCUUAAAUAAAACCCCCACAACUCUCCCAAUAAGGCAACAAACA